GAGAGAAACCUGAGGGUACCAGCAACCUGCUGCUGGGGCCCCCUCGCGUCCCGCCCGCUUCCCCGAGAGCGGCGUCCUCUCGGGUCGCAGCAUCCCUGCCCUUGGCACUACUUACAAGUCUCCGACUACGACGACUCCUUAGCCCCAACCUGCUUCAGAGCCCACCUUCACCGGAGGGGAAGCAGUUCGACGCUCAACAAGGCGUCGGCGAUGACAGACCGUAACCCUCGGACAGCCGAGGCCUCAGGCCUCUACACCUAUUCCAGCAGGCCCCGGGCCGUGGCUUGCCAGCGCCGCCGCCACCGAGACAGCAUUUUGCAGCCAGUUGAAGAACCUAUGAGUUACGGGAACAUCAUGUAUGACAGAAGGGUGAUCCGAGGCAACACCUAUGCACUGCCCACAGGACAGGUGCCCUAGAAGUGGUCAGAAACACCGCCUGAGAGCAGCUCAAAGAGGCCUAUGAACCAGGAGACUUGAUGAUACCACACCAGUUCCAGGUGGGAGAUGCAGUUCUCGUCUGACGACAUCGAGCUGAGAAUCUGAAACCUUGUUAAAAAGGCCCUUGCAUCGUGCUGCUGACCACCCCCACUGCUGUCAAAGAAGAAGGCAUCUAUUCAUGCCUUUCACGUAAAGCGAGCUCCUAAAGAAUAAACCCCCUUGGUUGACCACUCUCAUUUCUACUCUGAUAGACCCUCUAAUAAUUUUGCUCUUACUGCUGACGUGUGGCCCACUAAUUCUUAAUAAUCUAAUGACCUUUGUUAGAGAGAGGAUUGGUGCUGUCCAGCUGUUAGUAUUAAGACAACAAUACCAGUCUCUGCAGAACCUUGAAAAAGAGGUUGCAGUUUAGUUCUAAGAUUAGAACUAGUAACUAGAAGAAGUGGGGAAUGAAAGAUCCUGGCAGAAUGUAAAAGGACACAGAAGCCCUGAAAUUGGCAAGAUAGACGUCAGUGUUAGCAGAACUAGCUUCACUGAUUUAGAAAAAUAGAGGUGCACAAUGCUCUGGCCACUCCUUGAACCUGUGUGUCUGCCAAUGUUCUGACCAGGUGUGUGCCCAUUGCUGCACCUUCAUUAGACUCUUUCCUUGUACCCCUCCCAUACCCAUUUCUUGAGAAUAGACAUUGUUUAGAUCUGGAAAUCCCCUAAUCUCCCCCUUCUUCUUUCCCCCCUGAGGGCCUAUAAAAACUGGGAACUCUUUCCCCUCGAGGACGACUCCUCUACCCCUGCGUGGGAUAUGAGUCGUCCCCAGAGCUCUGGCUUUCCCCGAAUAAAGCCUCAUGUGGUU
rnacentral:lncRNA from 1 species